UACGGGGGGGGCAAGCGUUGUUCGGAAUUACUGGGCGUAAAGGGCUCGUAGGCGGCCAACUAAGUCGGAUGUGAAAUCCCCAGGCUUAACCUGGGAACUGCAUCCGAUACUGGAUGGCUUGAAUCCGGGAGAGGGAUGCAGAAUUCCAGGUGUAGCGGUGAAAUGCGUAGAUAUCGAGAGGAACACCUGCGGCGAAGGCGGGUUGCUGGGCUGACACUGACGCUGAGGCGCGAAAGCCAGGGGAGCGAACGGG
rnacentral:rRNA from 1 species